rnacentral:rRNA from 1 species
UACGGGGGGAGCAAGCGUUGUUCGGAUUUACUGGGCGUAAAGGGCGCGUAGGCGGUCGUGACAAGUCACUUGUGAAAUCUCCGGGCUUAACUCGGAACGGUCAAGUGAUACUGUCGGACUAGAGUACAGAAGGGGCAACUGGAAUUCUCGGUGUAGCGGUGAAAUGCGUAGAUAUCGAGAGGAACACCUGCGGCGAAGGCGGGUUGCUGGGCUGAGACUGACGCUGAGGCGCGAAAGCCAGGGGAGCGAACGGG